rnacentral:rRNA from 1 species
CGUAACAAAGGUUCAGUAGGUGAACCUGCGGAAGGAUCAUUGUCGAAACCUGUCUACGAGCAGGAAGAACCACGAACCCGUUAGUGUUUGAGAAAACACACACACGUCGGGAGGGGGAAGGCGAGCUCCCCGCCCGUCCGCCUCGCGUGGGUCGGAGGCGUGCCGUCCGCGGUCGUCGUGCCGUGGCGCCGCGGCGCAACAACGAACUCGGCGCGGACCGCGCCAAGGAAACAAUACGURACGGGAGAKCCCGUCKACCGUCGCCCCGGAGGCGGUGCGCGUUCGAUCGGUGGUGCCUUCUUUCAUUAUCCAAAACGACUCUCGGCAACGGAUAUCUUAGCUGCUCGCAUCGAUGAAGAACGUAGCGAMAUGCGAUUCUUGGUGUGAUUUGCAGAAUCCCGUGAACCAUCGAGUCUUUGAACGCAAGUUGCGCCCCAAGCCUUUAGGCCGAGGGCACGUCUGCCUGGGUGUCACGCAUCGUCGCCCCCCCACCACCCCCAGCACAGCGGGGAGGAGCGCGGWCGGGGCGGAGACUGUCCUCCCGUGCGCCUCGCGGGUCGCGGUUGGMCCAAAUCCGAGUCCCUCGGUCUCGCGUGCCGCGAUUUUCGGUGGUCGAAAGAAACCCGAUGCCCGUCGCGCUCGCUUGGCCGMACAGCAGGACCCCGUGACCCCGACGCGUCGCCCGUAGAGMGGYGCUCGCAACGCGACCCCAGGUCAGGCGGGAUUUUAAUAAUAAUUUUAUAUUUAUUUAAUU